GGCAGUGUGGAGUAGUGGUUUGAGUUUUGGGCUAGGGACUCCAAAAGAUCCAGGUUCAAAUCCCGUCUCAGCCA